UGGGUAUUUUUUUGGUAAGUGAUACCCAAAUCCCCUAGGCAAUGAUGAAAAUCGAGGCCCGUUUAACUUCAUAGGCUAUAAGCCUAAUAUUGAAGAACAUAUUGGACCCACACCACAAUUGAUGUAACCCAAUUGUAUUGGGUAUUUGGAGGAAAUCAGCCCAUUGGGCUAGAUGCUCAAUACCCGACUAUGGAGAUAAAUGAAAUCACAAAAGAUAGAAUUGGUUGCAAAUAAUUAUCUUGUGAUAAUUAUCCUAUCCCUACUGUUUCUGUUGGACUCAAAUUUAAACUUCCUUGUUAUUUUGGAGAUUUGAUUUCCCUCGUGAUAAUAUACAAGAGUUUUAAUAUAUCCAAACACUCAACCAAUUUGAAUUAAAUAGAGAAGCCGGCUGCCUUCUUCUUCCAAGCGUGAGAACCUUUCUUCCUUCUCUGUGAAAACCCAAAUCGACCUUUGUGGUGUGCCUUUGUGUGCCUUUUCUUCUUCGUGAAUGAAAAAGUCUCCCAAUUGAAGUUACCUUUGUGGUGUUGGGUUGAAGAUUUCUGAGCCGAAUUAAAAAGGGGGAUUUCGUUUCAUUUUCUUCCAUUAAAUUUCAGUUCACUGCUUUUUUUUUUUGGUUCCUUGACUUCCAUUAGAUUUAUUUUGAUUUAAUCCUUCAUUAACCAUUGUUUGUGUGGUUGCAGGUUGGAUUAACAACAACAGAAACCCCCAAAAAAUUGUCUACAGUUUUGCUUGUGCCUUAUAGCUAAUUCCAGUUUUUCUGUGGAUUGUAGGGAAGAAAACCUCACAAUUUGUAUCGAUUAUCUGAAGAUGAAAAUCUAGCUGGGUUUGUCUCCGUUUACGUCGAUCUAAGCUGAGGUAUGUUGUUGGUUCUGUACCUGUUAGGAGGAAAUGGUAAUAUUACUGCGGUUUUGAAGGCUCAUUUGCACGGUGAUGGUUGUGCUUCCAAAUUCCUAAAAUGCAUUGGCUCUCUGACGGUUUUUGUAUGUGAAAAUGGUGUGAAGGCUUUGACAAUCGAUGAAUCUUAGAAGAUUACAGUUACCGAAAAAUUUGAUCUGAAGAACCUCCGGGAGAAAAUGUAGGAGAAAACCAACAAAAAAGUGGAACUGAUUUUACGAGAGCAGCCAAAAUGGAACGGCAACAAAAGAGAAUGCGAAGGGCAAAAGAAAAUGGAAAAGAAGACAAAAAUACAAAGAUAAAAGGUGAAGACAAAAAAUGCAAGAACAAGGAGCAAUUUAGUGCCACUUUUCAUGUGCUGUGGGAGGAUAUGCAAAUAAGUAGAAAAAGUUGCAGAUGAUCCAAAGAUUGAAUUUUCUGGGGUUUUGCUAUCAUAUUUGCAGUUUUUGAAAGGGCAUUUUAGGGUUGAAAAUUGGGAAAUGAUGGAAUCCCGAAUGGAUCAAUAUGAGAUCAUGAAGCAGAUAGGGCGUGGAGCUUUUGCCGCAGCCAUUUUGGUAAAGAACAAGUUGGAGAGAAAAAAAGGUAUGCUCUUCAGAAGAUUCGAUUAGCCUGACAAACUGAUGUUGAAGGAGAUUGGAUCAUCAAGAGUUACAUUGAUAUUAUUCACGAUUUCAAUUGAUGCUGCUUUGCUUUUGAUGAUUAUUGAAUUUAUGAAUGUUUAUUUGGUGAUUAUUAUGUAAUUUACUAUCGAAAUUUUCUAGGGUAAUGGUCUGAAUGUAACUUCUCAGUUAGUGGUUUCCAUUUCUUUAAGGUCUUGAGGGAUUUACUCCCAAUUUUAUGUGUUCUGCUUGUGUGCAUAAGAUGCAUUUUCUUUUUCAGCCUGUACUAACACUAAGAUAGAAAAGGUUAGUGAUUGUACAAGUUUGAAAUUUGCAUGUGUAGAUACGUCAAUUGCAUGGAUACAGCACCCUUAUAUUGUUGAAUUCAAGGAAGCAUGGGUUGAUAAGAUAAUAGUCAUUGAGGCUUUUCUAUUCCAUGACAAUUUGAUGGUUUCUUUUGAUUCUGUAAACAAUGAAUUUGAAGGAAAAUUGCAUUUUUUUUUAAAACUGAAUUCUUAGUAUCUAAUACUAAUGUAGGGUUGAUAUGUUUGCAUUUUUACCGGCUGCUGUGAGGGUGGUGACAAGUAAGUUUCAUAUCAUAAAAUUUUUAACAAGAAAGUGCUCCAUAAUGUAGUUAUUUUGUUUGGGUCUUCUUUUACAAGAUUUUACGAGCUAUGGAUGAUCGACCUUUAACAAGGUGGAACUGAUGAAAAAUUAAAAGGCCAGUGCUUUCCAGAGGAGAAACUCUUGAAUGGUUCACCCAGCUAUUGUUGGCAGUUGAAUAGCUACAUUCCAAUUCCGUUCUCCACCGGGACCUAAAACUAAAAUGCUCCAUCAUCCUUCUUACUAAAGAUCAAGAUUUUCGUCUGGGUGAGUUCGAAAUUUAUGUCUCUUGUUGACUUUAAAACUAGGCUACUAAUAAUAUUCUUCCUCGCUUCUCAUUUUAUAGUAGGGGAUUUUUGGACUUGCUAAAAUUUUGAAAGUAGAUGAUCUGGCUUCUUCGUUAAGAGCUUGCUUAGCAUACCCAUCAAGUAUCUUUUUCCUCAUUGAUGUUAAUAAUAAUUAUAGAGUGAAGUACAAAAAUAUUUCAUGUUUCCUCGCAUUUUCUGUUGGUUCGUUUUAUUGUAGUGGGUGAUAGUAGAAUUCAUUAAUUUAAAUGAAUUAAAGAGAAGGACUGAAAUCGGAUUUAAGAACCAAAUGAUAUUGACUGAAUUUAUCUUUAGGAUAAGUGUAAGAGUUCGGAAAAGAACUUUAUUUGUGGAAAAAAAAAAUCGUGAAUAUGAGUUUCUGAAGUUAGUCCUUGUAUUGUUUCUCCUGCCCAGGGUAAUAUUAUCAGAUUUUGCCUUAAUAGUUUCCAAAGUGUGGAUUUAUAUAUUUUGUCCCUUGCAUUUUCUUAUUACCCCAGCUAGGUAGCUUAAAUUCUCUUUUAGCCAUUGAACAAACUCCAUCUAUCCCAAUGGUAUCCAAGGUUCCAACCAUAAUACUUUGUAUGUAUUUGUUACGUCGCUGAUGGCUCCCCUGUUAAGUCUGAACUCUGAAAUCCCAUCCAUUGUUGCUGUAAAAUGCUACCAAUCUUGUUUGGUUGAUUCUUUAUGCUCUUGCAAUCAACUUCUGUUUGUCAGCUCGAGGCAAUGGCCUUCAAUAUCUCGUUACCCAGCAUGUGUACGCACCUAGUACCCUAAGAUGGAAAUGAUUGAUUCUCCGUAUAAGCGUGAAUCAGACACUGAGGAUGAGGGCAUAAUUAGAUGAGUUUAUCGUCUUCAGUUGGCAUAAUUAAAGAAAAGCCCGUUACAGUGGCCAUGUUUUAUAGUAUUAGUUCUGUAUCUAUACGCUUGAGUACAGGUAACUAAUUGAGUCAUCAUUUCAACUGCAGGGAGAUUUUUGCUUCAUUUCUAUGUUUGUUCAGGAAAAAGUAAACCCGAUGAAAUUAUUGUAUUCCAGGCAAAUUAUUGUAUUCCAGGUUGUGAAAUGCAUUGUUUUCCUUUUGUAAUAGAAAUAAAGUCAUCUCUAAUAACUCUA